rnacentral:ncRNA from 2 species
CCACAUAGAAAAGCGUAAGGUGUCGGAUGACAGAAGAUUUCUGUUAAUCCGGUGAAAAGGGAAACAGGUGUGAAUCCUGUACGAACUCGUCACCGUGAUUCGCGAGGGAAGACAAAAACCACUGGGAAACCGGGAAGGUGUCAAACCGCUUGAACGAUCAGCCGGGAGACCUGCCUUUGCGCAGUACGGGAA